rnacentral:rRNA from 1 species
GAUGAACGCUGGCGGCGUGCCUAAUACAUGCAAGUCGAGCGAACGGACGAGAAGCUUGCUUCUCUGAUGUUAGCGGCGGACGGGUGAGUAACACGUGGACAACCUACCUAUAAGACUGGGAUAACUUCGGGAAACCGUAGCUAAUACCGGAUAAUAUUUUGAACCGCAUGGUUCAAAAGUGAAAGACGGUCUUGCCGCCACUUAUAGAUGGAUCCGCGCUGCAUUAGCUAGUUGGUAAGGUAACGGCUUACCAAGGCAACGAUGCAUAGCCGACCUGAGAGGGUGAUCGGCCACACUGGAACUGAGACACGGUCCAGACUCCUACGGGAGGCAGCAGUAGGGAGUCUUCCGCAAUGGGCGAAAGCCUGACGGAGCAACGCCGCGUGAGUGAUGAAGGUCUUCGGAUCGUAAAACUCUGUUAUUAGGGAAGAACAUAUGUGUAAGUAACUGUGCACAUCUUGACGGUACCUAAUCAGAAAGCCACGGCUAACUACGUGCCAGCAGCCGCGGUAAUACGUAGGUGGCAAGCGUUAUCCGGAAUUAUUGGGCGUAAAGCGCGCGUAGGCGGUUUUUUAAGUCUGAUGUGAAAGCCCACGGCUCAACCGUGGAGGGUCAUUGGAAACUGGAAAACUUGAGUGCAGAAGAGGAAAGUGGAAUUCCAUGUGUAGCGGUGAAAUGCGCAGAGAUAUGGAGGAACACCAGUGGCGAAGGGCGACUUUCUGGUCUGUAACUGACGCUGAUGUGCGAAAGCGUGGGGAUCAAACAGGAUUAGAUACCCUGGUAGUCCACGCCGUAAAACGAUGAGUGCUAAGUGUUAGGGGGUUUCCGCCCCUUAGUGCUGCAGCUAACGCAUUAAGCACUCCGCCUGGGGAGUACGACCGCAAGGUUGAAACUCAAAGGAAUUGACGGGGACCCGCACAAGCGGUGGAGCAUGUGGUUUAAUUCGAAGCAACGCGAAGAACCUUACCAAAUCUUGACAUCCUUUGACAACUCUAGAGAUAGAGCCUUCCCCUUCGGGGGACAAAGUGACAGGUGGUGCAUGGUUGUCGUCAGCUCGUGUCGUGAGAUGUUGGGUUAAGUCCCGCAACGAGCGCAACCCUUAAGCUUAGUUGCCGUCAUUAAGUUGGGCACUCUAAGUUGACUGCCGGUGACAAACCGGAGGAAGGUGGGGAUGACGUCAAAUCAUCAUGCCCCUUAUGAUUUGGGCUACACACGUGCUACAAUGGACAAUACAAAGGGCAGCGAAACCGCGAGGUCAAGCAAAUCCCAUAAAGUUGUUCUCAGUUCGGAUUGUAGUCUGCAACUCGACUACAUGAAGCUGGAAUCGCUAGUAAUCGUAGAUCAGCCAUGCUACGGUGAAUACGUUCCCGGGUCU